AAAAAUAAAUAAUAAAAACGGGGAUUUAGAUUAAUUGACAUGAAGAGUAUUCUGGAACUUUUCAUCAGCCUCUUCUCUCUUUCAUUUUUUUGUAUGCUUCUCUCAUCCAAUAGAUCUGUUUCUUCGCUGAGGCUAUAACCAUUAAGAUCGUGAGAAGAUUUCAAAUUAUCAAAACAUGAUGAUGGCGAGUUCCUAGUACUCCAGAUAGAUAUGAUUCGUUUGGGUUGUCAUCAAACCCUAGAAUAACUCAAUUUGGUGCUUUUUCAUUGUUGAACCUGCAACCUAUCAAUCCAAAGCUGAAUGAUGAGAAUUAACGAUAUUGGAGAUCACGCUUAUUGGUUGCAACGGGCGCUUUUGAUCUUGAAGAUCAUCUCAUAGGUUUAAUACCCUACCCUUCACCCUUUAUAGCUGUUAAAAAUGAAAGUAAUUUUGGUGUGGUUAAACAAUCGAAUCCUGAUUAUUCAUUAUGGAAAAGAAUAGACAAGUUCUUAAUGAGUUGGUUGUUAUCUUUCAAUUACAAAAUGCAUGUUUAGUAAUAUAUUAACUCUAGGUUUGAAACCUCAACUGAGGUAUGAAAUACACUGCAGAAUAGUUUUAUUGCUGAUUCUAAAAUUAGAUUGAUGCAAUUAAUGUCAACUUUCCAAACAUUUAAGAAGGGAAUGUUGAGUGUCAGUGAAUAUGUUAAAACAAUGACAAAAGUUGCUGAUGCUUUGACAUCUAGUGGGCAAGUUAUCACUGGAGAUUAUGUGAUUGGGUAUAUAACAGAUGGAGUAGGUCCAGAACUUGACCCUGUGGUAGUUUACAUUACAGUAAAACUAGAUUCUCCUAGUAAAACUAUAACUUUUGCAGAAGCAAAAUAUGUUUUACAAAAAUUUGAGUAGAGGAUGAGUAGAAAUUCAAUGUAUGUAGUUGAUUUACAAGGAGGUCUAGUGAAUGUAGCAACACAAGUAGGUGGUAGAGUUAAAGAAGAGAAAAAUGCUACAGUGUUCUAUUCAAGGGCAGAUGAUAUAGAUUUUGUUCACAUUGGAUAGCUUCAAAAUAAUGUUAGUACUGGUAAGUUGUAUGACAGAAUUUAAGGCUUAGGUAGAGGUAGAGGUUAUCUGUUGAGUGCAUAAUUUAUAUACAUUUAGUGUCUAAUCAUUAGAUUUUUAGGUACAUUUUAGUUAGAAUAUUUUUAGUUUUAUUUAAUGAUAUUUCCUCAUUUUAGUUAGAUAUUGUUAGUUUUAUUUAAUUUUAAUGUUAAUUUCGUGAUUUUUCCUUAUUUUGUGAUUCUUAGAUAUUUAGUGAAGAUUUAGAGACAAAUUUCGAACAAAGAUGGAUAAAUUUGGAAAAAAUUUGACAUCUUGGCUUAAAUCAAGCAAGAUUUCCUAAUGUAGGUGGAAGUAUCCUGAUAUAGAGAGCUGAAAUGGGAAACUAAUGCAAGCAGAAACAAGAAACUAGUAUAACCAAAAUAGGAAAAUAUUUGCGAGCAUGUUUGACAGAAUCUACAAAAUCCUAGUAUAUCUAGGACUCCCAGAUGCGUGCUAGCUAUCAAUCCCAAACUAUUUAAAGACAUUUUUCAUACAAAAUAUACUUCCUUUCCACCUCUUCAGCCUUCCAACCGCCUAAAACUCAUUGUAAAUCAAGGAUUUAACACAAAAACUCAAGAUCAAGGAACAAGAAUUGCUAAUUACUUCAAGAAUUCAAGAAGAUCAAGAUUUGAAUGUCUUCCCAAGAUUUCUAACUUCUUCUUAAUUCUUUAUUAUAUCAUGAAUUAUUCUUGUUAUUUGAUUUGUGUUUUUAUUAUUAUUAUGAGUGGCUAAAUAUAUUUUCUAUGGAUUAAAAGAGAUCUUUCAA